CCCCGCCACCUUUUCUUUUCUUGCUGGCAGCAACGGCAGAGAAUGAGAUCGGAUGAGAAACAAAAGAAUCCAGAAUGUCUCAAGAACUCCCACACAUCAACAGUAAAGAGAUGAAAAUUCCAACUAAAUGUGCAAAAGUCAUGACUAGAUGUUGUCCAAAAGAAGAAUCUGAAUGGGCAAUAAACGCGCCAGGGUGCUCAA